rnacentral:rRNA from 1 species
UACGAAGGGGGGCUAGCGUUGUUCGGAAUUACUGGGCGUAAAGGGCGCGUAGGCUGUGCUGUAAGUCAGGCGUGAAAGCCCCGGGCUCAACCUGGGAAUUGCGCUUGAUACUGCGGCGCUGGGAAGGUGGGAGAGGAUGGCGGAAUUCCCAGUGUAGAGGUGAAAUUCGUAGAUAUUGGGAAGAACACCGGUGGCGAAGGCGGCCAUCUGGCCCACAAUUGACGCUGAGG